AUUGAACGCUGGCGGCAGGCCUAACACAUGCAAGUCGAGCGGAUGAAGGGAGCUUGCUCCUGGAUUCAGCGGCGGACGGGUGAGUAAUGCCUAGGAAUCUGCCUGGUAGUGGGGGAUAACGUCCGGAAACGGGCGCUAAUACCGCAUACGUCCUGAGGGAGAAAGUGGGGGAUCUUCGGACCUCACGCUAUCAGAUGAGCCUAGGUCGGAUUAGCUAGUUGGUGGGGUAAAGGCCUACCAAGGCGACGAUCCGUAACUGGUCUGAGAGGAUGAUCAGUCACACUGGAACUGAGACACGGUCCAGACUCCUACGGGAGGCAGCAGUGGGGAAUAUUGGACAAUGGGCGAAAGCCUGAUCCAGCCAUGCCGCGUGUGUGAAGAAGGUCUUCGGAUUGUAAAGCACUUUAAGUUGAGAGGAAGGGCAGUAAGUUAAUACCUCGCUGUUUUGACGUUACCAACAGAAUAAGCACCGGCUAACUUCGUG
rnacentral:rRNA from 1 species